rnacentral:rRNA from 1 species
GACGAACGCUGGCGGCGUGCUUAACACAUGCAAGUCGAACGGAAAGGCCCUGCUUGUGUGGGGUUCUCGAGUGGCGAACGGGUGAGUAACACGUGAGUAACCUGCCCUUGACUUUGGGAUAACUUCAGGAAACUGGGGCUAAUACCGGAUAGGAGCUCCUGCUGCAUGGUGGGGGUUGGAAAUUUUCGGCGGUUGGGGAUGGACUCGCGGCUUAUCAGCUUGUUGGUGGGGUAGUGGCUUACCAAGGCUUUGACGGGUAGCCGGCCUGAGAGGGUGACCGGCCACAUUGGGACUGCGAUACGGACCAGACGCCUACGGGAGGCAGCAGUGGGGAAUAUGGCACAAUGGGAGGAAGCCUGAUGAAGAAACGCUGGGUGCGGGAGGACGGCCUUCGGGUUGUAAACCGCUUUCGCCUGUGACGAAGCGUGAGUGACGGUAAUGGGUAAAGAAGCACCGGCUAACUACGUG